AAACACUACAAUACUUAUAGUAACUUUAUUUGAAACUUUUCAUUUGCAAUUUAACUUUAUUUGGUGCACAUUUGCAGAAAUAAGCUUGCACGCACAUUAUCAUCUCGUGUUUAUUCAUUACCCUUUAAAAAAAGAAAGGCAUACUUUGAUAUUCCAAUAUUUAAAAAUAAACCACGCACUCAAAAAUAUGUUUCUCAAAUGACGAUAUAGCAUCAUUCUGUCUUGAGCUAAACCACGCCCUCGUUACGAUGGUUGCGCUUACGUAACGUCAACGUCUCAGGCGGGAGAAACUGGAAGCAUUGUACUUCGGUGGGGAAAGAGGCAAGCCGUGGAAGAGCAAUCUUAAUAACGGUGGCGGUAAUGUUCCAAAAGCUGGUUGCCAACCGCUAUGAUGAUCACAAGAAGAAAAAGAAGUUUGGCGUUUCAAAACAGUGGAUUCCGGUCAGAAAGACACACAUGAGGAAGCUCGACUCAGCUUGGCUUGCAGACAGAUGAGGACGGUGAUUGCCCGUCAUACACCUAAAGAAAGAACAGGGGCAUUAAAGACACAACUAUAGUGAACGUGAUGAAGAAAAAUUAUUUGGAACAAAGAGGCUGGAGAAAAAACUGAUAUGAAGAUUUCAGAAAUUGAUGCAGCACCGCAAGUACCAUCACCACCAAUGACUAUGGCAGGAUCCUUAAGAACACCAUCAAGAUGCACAGAUGCUGUACAUUCCAGUACACCUAUGAACAUUUACAGUCCUUGUUCAAGUGCAGUCGGAGAUCAAGACAACUUAUUGCAACUCGUCAUGUCUUUCACGACUGAAAAAAAGUUUUAAAAUCAUGUGACGUCAUAAAGCAGCAACUGUGCCUGAUUCUCACAAAUCAGCAAAACCAAAACAGACGUGAUGAAAUUCCAGAUGUAAACACAUUUGACCUUUCUUUGUCCAAUUUGAUUUGGAAAAACUUGAAAAUCAACUAAACGAGCAGCCCGAACAAAUGAAGAAACUGGUAGCCUACUUUGGAAUCAUUGGUGUUUUCCACUAAGCAGUUUGGUGUGUCCCGGGAAAGCUUUUGGCUCACUUUUUGGCUGAACAAAUUAACUGGAGCAGGGCAAACCAAAAUGUGGCCUUUCAUGCACUCUCCCUUACGACUGUCUAGUCAAUGUAGUGAGGAGAAAUGUCCAUACCACAUCACUGAUAAAGAAGUGGAAAAAUGCAUUACAAGGUGGCUACAACGUGCUCCUGACAGGGCUGGAGGAAGGAGGGAAGAAGAGAAAGCUAAUGUGUCAAAUGUCUACAUCAAUAAUUUAUUUUUUAAACAACAUUUUAAGUGUAUUAAGAUGUUCCCUGAUACUUGGGU